rnacentral:tRNA from 1 species
GGGCCCGUAGCUCAGGUGGUUAGAGCGCACGCCUGAUAAGCGUGAGGUCAGUGGUUCAACUCCACUCGGGCCCA